rnacentral:rRNA from 1 species
GGGCUGCAGUCGAGAAUAUUCCCCAAUGGACGAAAGUCUGAGGGAGCGACGCCGCGUGCAGGAUGAAGGCCUUCGGGUUGUAAACUGCUUUUCUCUGGGAAGAACACUGACCGUACCAGAGGAAUAAGAGGUUGCUAACUCUGUGCCAGCAGCAGCGGUAAUACAGAGACCUCGAGCGUUAUCCGGAUUUACUGGGCGUAAAGGGUCCGCAGGUGGUUUUGUAAGUCUUCGGUUAAAUUCUUGAGCUCAACUCGAGAACCGCCGAGGAAACUAUAAGACUAGAGACUGGGAGAGGCAAGCGGAAUUGCCGGUGUAGUAGUAAAAUGCGUUAAUAUCGGCAAGAACACCAAAUGCGAAGGCAGCUUGCUAGAACAGUUCUGACACUCAGGGACGAAAGCGUGGGUAGCGAUACGGAUUAGAUACCCUUGUAGUC